rnacentral:rRNA from 1 species
CGCGGUAAUACGUGGAAGACUAGUGUUAUUCAUCUUUAAUAGGUUUAUAGGGUACUUAGACGGUAAAUUAAGCCCAGAUAAAUACAAAGGGUACUAAUUAUACUAGAGUUUGAUAAGAGGAGGGUGUGUACUAGUGGUGUAGAGAUGAAAUUCAGUCAUACCAUUAUGACAGGCAACGGCGAAAGCAACCUUUAGAUAAAAACUGACGUUAAAGGACGAAGGCUUUGUGUCACCAACAGGAUUAGAUACCCAAGCAGUCUUAGCAGACAAUUAUGAAUGCCAUAGGUAAGAAGAAAACACAUUUAUUUUUUCUUUUUUUUUACAUAAUUUAUAGAGAUUAGACAUAAAAUAAAAAAGAAAUAGGAUGUCACAUUAUCUAUAGAAGACGAUGUAUUUCAU